rnacentral:rRNA from 1 species
UGGGGAAUUUUGGACAAUGGGCGCAAGCCUGAUCCAGCCAUGCCGCGUGGGUGAAGAAGGCCUUCGGGUUGUAAAGCCCUUUCGGCCGGGAAGAAAACGUGCGGGCGAACAGUCUGCAUGGAUGACGGUACCGGAAGAAGAAGCACCGGCUAACUACGUGCCAGCAGCCGCGGUAAUACGUAGGGUGCGAGCGUUAAUCGGCAUUAUUGGGCGUAAAGCGUGCGCAGGCGGCGCCAUAAGACAGCUGUGAAAUCCCCGGGCUUAACCGGGGAACUGCGGUUGUGACUGGGGUGCUAGAGUACGGCAGAGGGAGGUGGAAUUCCUGGUGUAGCAGUGAAAUGCGUAGAGAUCAGGAGGAACACCCAUGGCGAAGGCAGCCUCCUGGGCUGAUACUGACGCUCAUGCACGAAAGCGUGGGGA